CUACGGGUGGCACCAGUGAGGAAUAUUGCACAAUGGGGGGAACCCUGAUGCAGCAACGCCGCGUGGAGGAUGUCGCGUUUCGGUGUGUAAACUCCUUUUAUAUGUCAAGAAAAUGACGGUAGCAUAUGAAUAAGCACCGGCUAACUCCGUGCCAGCAGCCGCGGUAAUACGGAGGGUGCAAGCGUUACUCGGAAUCACUGGGCGUAAAGGACGCGUAGGCGGGUUGGAAAGUCAGGUGUGAAAUCCUACAGCUUAACUGUAGAACUGAACUUGAAACUUCUAAUCUAGAGUAUGGGAGGGGGAGAUGGAAUUAGUGGUGUAGGGGUAAAAUCCGUAGAUAUCACUAGGAAUACCUAAAGCGAAGGCGAUCUCCUGGAACAUUACUGACGCUAAGGCGUGAAAGCGUGGGGAGCAAACAGGAUUAGAUACCCCUGUAGUC
rnacentral:rRNA from 1 species